AUACGUAGGGGGCGAGCGUUGUCCGGAAUGAUUGGGCGUAAAGGGCGCGUAGGCGGCCCGGUAAGUCUGGAGUGAAAGUCCUGUUUUUAAGAUGGGAAUUGCUUUGGAUACUGUCGGGCUUGAGUGCAGGAGAGGUAAGUGGAAUUCCCAGUGUAGCGGUGAAAUGCGUAGAGAUUGGGAGGAACACCAGUGGCGAAGGCGACUUACUGGACUGUAACUGACGCUGAGGUGCGAAAGUGUGGGGAGCAAACAGGAUUAGAUACCCUGGUAGUCCACACUGUAAACGAUGAAUGCUAGGUGUAGGGGGUAUCGACCCCUUCUGUGCCGCAGUCAACACAAUAAGCAUUCCGCCUGGGGAGUACGGCCGCAAGGUUGAAACUCAAAUGAAUUGGCGGGG
rnacentral:rRNA from 1 species